ensembl:lncRNA TSPOAP1-AS1 TSPOAP1, SUPT4H1 and RNF43 antisense RNA 1
AUGGUAUCUUCUCAGCUGGCUCGAGGGCACACCUCCCAAAAUGCAGAGAAGGCAGGGUGGCUAGGAAUGGCUCUAGUAGAAUUCUCCCCUUAUCUUGUCUGGAAACAAGGGGCAAAGAGCUAUCUAUUUCCUCCUGCCAGCCUCCUGCCCCCAACAGGAUUCCUCACAUCCCAGGACCAGCUGGAAAAGGUGGUGAGAGUUGGAAAGAGACUGCUCAGUGAGGACUGCCCUGCGAACCAGCUUGGAUUCAUCCCGUUCACCUCCACGUUCUGCACUCGGGGCCGAGGGAAGGGAGGCAGCCCAGGCAGCUAGAGAACUUGAUGAAACACACUCAAUCUGAAUCUCGCUUGAUCGUCAUGCUGACCCAGUGAGGCCACUCCUCGACUUUUCAGCUCCCGCACGAUUCCUGAAGCAGGAAAAGAAACAGUUCUGUGAGUCUACUCAGGGUCAGGCAUCCUUUCCGACUACUCACUCAGCAGCGGAUCCCCACCCGCCUCUGACUCCCAGUGUCUUUCGGCUCCAACGUAAGUUCACCGAACGUCUAAGAGCUGAGGAUUCAAAGGCAUGUAAGACCGCCCCUGCCCUCAGCUGCAAGACCUGUCCGCGAUCCUACGAGCCCCAUUCCGCCCUCUUUCCCCGACCUUGGUCCCCCAUGGGCCCUACAACCAGGUCCCCGACUGACACCUUGACCAGCGAACACAGCAAACAGGCCCGCAGAUGCCGCAGGUCCUUCGGCACCGUCUCCAGGGCCAUCUUCGCCGAUGGGAAGAACAACAGGGAGAUAGACGACCACAGCCUGUGCACCCGCAGGAAGUAAAUAGCUCGUUACCCAGAAUGCCCACCACUUCCGGCGCUUAGACUUCCUCUUCCGGUGUGGGCGGACGCCAGCUCCGCCCCUACCCCCGCCAGAGGAGAUGGUUUCUCCCGCCAGCAGGCGGGGAGGCUGGGCGGCCGGCCGCCACCUGGGCCGGAGCGCGUCGCAGCCACCUGAGCCCGCCGAGGGCGCGGCGGAGGCUGUGUGGGGUAGUCAGCGGGCCCCCGGGGCGGGGGGGCGGCUGCGCUUGCGCGGGAGUGUGUCGGGCUGAGCCGCAGCGCCGAGACGCGGGCUGUUUGAUCUGGGCUGGUGGCCCUGGGCGUCGGUCCUGUUCCCCGAUGGUAACCCGAAGUUUGUUUUUUUUUGUUUUGUCUCCCCGUUUUAGAAGCAUUGGGGGCAGUGAAUCCACUGUCUCCCUCUGGAUUGUCUCUGCAGAGACCGAGAAGAAAUCCAGGGACAGCCCCACCCCUCCUUCCUAACUGCGAGAGCGCUAUAGGGUUUCCACUUGCUUCCCACAGGAAUGCUGGCCUGGGAGCUACGGCGGAAAAAAAUGCGUAUUUAUCUUUUAAAACUCCGUCUGUUUGCUCGUUCCGGCUGAUAAUUUAUACUUUGCGCAGUUCUUAGCGCUUAGACACGGUUCCUUUACUAAAGACCAUUUGUAGGAGAUUAGGUGUCCUUUUUUUCCCUUUCAUUUCACCGUCUAGGAAGCGAAAUGCCUUGUUCUAUAGGCACUAAACCACCACCCCUACCAAACCUUUCUCGGGGAAGCAGAAGGGGAACUUGUGCCUUGUGAGGAAGCGACAAAGGCCCCUUCUGGCCCUGGAGACUUCACGCCAAUGGAGCACCAGCUCUCUGUCCUCGCAAUAGCCCGAGUGCAGGCAGAACGCAGUCAUUUGUGUUUAUCUGAGAGGAGCUUUGGGAUAUAAAUAGUUUCAGGCCCCGCUGCGCUGUCAUUCCAGCCCAGCCUCCUGAUUGAGCUGCUUCCGGGCGGGCUUUCUUCUUGUUGGCGGUCCCAUGCUGUGUUCAGAUGGGCUCUGUGACAGGUUUGGAUGUUUUCUAUCACUGAAUAAAACUUUCCACUUUGGAACAUAUUUUCUACACUCUAUUAUCUCAUGUAAGUCCUGCAACAACUAUUAAGUAGGCCCAUUUUAUGGACUGAAAAAGCGAGGCACAGAGUAUUUGCCCAAGGUCUGAGUCACUGAAGUAUGAUAAUGUGUGAAGUGAACAGUAUAAUAAUAAUGACUGAAGCACAGUAAGAAUCCAGUCAUGCUUUCUCCUUCCCUGAUCUCACUAAGCCACACUUUUAGGGGCUUACAAACCAGUUCUUAUUGCCAAGCCCUCUACUCUACCCUAUCCUUUCAUGAAUCGGAGCCUAGCCUCUGAUAACAUAAAUAAUUUACUUCUCUUGAUGUAGAAAGAGAUGACGUUGUUACCCUGAGUGACAGUCACGACAGAACAAAACCACAAGACCAGACCACAUUUGUGGAUAAAUAUAUUAGCAAAUAAAUAUAUUUCUUAACAUA